ACAUAUUCCCCCUAAUUUCCAAUUGGUCACCAUCUUCACUCUUAGCAACCUUCUCGUCUCUUCAAACUUGAUUCAAAUGAAUUCUUUGGAGACCUCCUUUACAAACAGAGACUGCAACACCCAUAAAUACUCGUUUGAUACUUUGAUCUACCCAACCUUUCUUGCCUUCUAAUGACAAACCCUUGUUCACUUGAUCACAAACCAUUUCCAUUAUCUUUACCUCACCUAUUGCACCAUAAUCAAAACAACUCUUCACUAGGAUGCAAGAAAAUUUUCACUUACAACACUAACACUGUCAUGCCAGCGCUUGUUUUCUCCAUAUAUGUGUAUGCUCACACCCUUUUUCCGCUAAUCACUGGUCGAUAUGUACAUGUGUUUCGUGUUUAUUCUACUUGAGAUUGUGCAUGUCCAUAACAAGAAAUGAUUUUGUUUUUUGCUUCUUUUAUCCUAGUGCCAACUUUUAGUAUUAGAGAAUUGUUUACUUGAAGCACUUUUGUUCCAUUCCAAUAACUGGCGUUCUUACUGUCACAUUCAUCAGCAGUCCAAUUAUCUGUUUCAAAAUCAUUAAUAUCACCCUCAAGAAUGAUUAUUUCAAUUUCUGUUGCAGCCUCAGCCCCAGUCGUCACAAUCUGCCAUCAACCAAACUACUAUGAAGGGUUCAUGACCUUUUCUUUGAAUAUUAUUGCAAGAAAUUUUCUUUGAAUACAAUUGCAAGAAUUCCAUGUCCUGCCUGUCAACAAAUCCAAGCCAUAUUUUCCUUUAAUCAUCGAAAGAAUGUUUUAUCAACAUUAUAAGUGUAGUUAAAGGGUUCAAUUGUAAAUAUAGAAUAGAUCAGGGACUUAUUUAUAAAUAGUUAGGUGUUUGUUCAUUCUCUUUGUUGUUACUGUAUAAAUUCAUGUUUAGUCUCUAUAUUCAAUUCAGGGUGAAAUAAAUUAUAUACAUUUCACUUGUUACUUUCUCUCUUUAAAUGUGUUCUUGAUUGUUUGAAUGAUAUCAGAUCAACGAUCAAAUUACUUUAUCUAAUUCCACAAAAUGAGUUCUCAAAAUGAGAUUGAAUUCAAUCUCAAUUCAUCAUCUUCUUCUAGCAAUACUCUAUCCAAUGCUAAGAACAAUGAUCCAAGCAUGUUCUUAGUAUCUACACAUCUCACCGAUAAUGAAAACUAUAUGCAAUGGAAGUUUUCUACUCGAAUCGCUCUAGGAGCAAAGAAGAAGAUCGGAUUUAUCGAUGGAACAAUAAAGAGGCCUGAAUCUGAAGGAUCGGAAGUUGAUGAUUGGAUCAGCAAUGAUUGUAUGUUUCGUUCAUGGUUGUUGAAUGCUAUUUCAAAGGAGAUCGCUGGAGCUUUCAUCUUCGCAACUACGACACAAGAACUGCGGCUUGGCUGGAACUUGAAGAACAUUUUGGUGAAAGCAAUGGUCCGCUUAUCUACUAAUUACAGAGACAAAUUGCCUCCAUUAAUCAAUGUGAUUUAUCUCUAUCCAAAUAAUAUACGAAGUUGAAACAAUUAUGGGAUCAACUGAGUUGUCUAAUUGAAAUCCCUAAUUGCAAAUGUGGAUACGCAAAGGUAAUUUUAGAAUUUACUUCAUCUAUGCGUCUGAUGCAAUUCUUAAUGGGGCUAAAUGAUACUUAUGAGAAUCUAAGAAAUCAAAUUCUUGUUCUCGAUCCUUUUCCUUCUGUUCAAAAAGCUUAUUCUAUGGCCUUAAGUGUUGAAAAACAAAAAGAAGUGCAGAUUAAUUUUUCUGCUCCUAAUGAAGCAUCUGCCAUGUAUGUGAAAGCUUCAAAUCAUCAUAACAAUGAUAGGAAACAGUUUUCAUAUAAGCAAAAGACCGAGAAUAAGAAAAAUGGGGACAAAUAUUGUAAUUUCUGCAAGGUAAAUGGUCAUAAUAAAGAUGUUUGUUUCAAUUUGAAUGGUUAUUCAAUUCUGCAAACAUGGUGAAUGCAAAUCAACAAGAAGAUAAUCCUUUGUUUCAAGAAUGUUCCUCUUCUUCAAAUUCAGACAACAAUGAAUCUAUGAAUGCUCUGUUUCAACAAUUCACUCAGUUUUUGAAGAUGAAUCAAAAUGUUGAUCCACAUUCUGCAAAUUUCUCACAUUUUGGAGACUUUGCAGGUAUGAACAUCUCUUUAUUAAAUUCCUUAAAGAGUUUUCAAUUUGGUAAAGAUGUAUGGAUAUUGGACACUCGACCUACUGCUCACAUGUGUUCCAAUACAUCUUAUAUGGAAUGUUUGAAGCCCGUUGAUAUAUAUACCCUUAUCUUUUUACCUGAUGGCUCUAUCAAAUCUGUGACUCACACAUGAUUAUAGAAUUAAACUCAAGAUUGAGGUAGUCCUUCAAAUGACAAAGCUCAUUCAACAGAUCAGGUAGAGACUUCAGACAACUCAGAGUCUGCAGAAAAGUUAUGUCGACAAGCAUCGAUUUGAGUUGGAGUUCUAGGUUGGGGACAUGGUCUUGCUGAAGGUAUCACCCUAGAAUGGUGUAAUACGCUUUAGGAAGAGGGGCAAGUUGGGGCCUUGAUAUAUUGGGCCAUUUCGGGUGGUAUCCAGGGUUAGCAAGGUAGCGUACAUAUUGGAUUUUCCUAAGGAGCUUAGCCAUAUCCACAACACCUUCCAUGUUUUGCAGCUUCGGAAGUGUGUGGCUGAUGAUUCAGCGGUUGUUCCUUUUGAGGAUGUUCAGGUUGAUGAUCCCCUGAAUAAUAUGGAGAGACCAGUGGCAAUCUUGGAUCAAAAAACAAAGGCCUUGCGUAACAAGUGGUGCCUUUGGUCAAGGUGAAGUGGCAGCAUCGGAAGGGUUCCGAAUGGACGUAGGAACCCGAUAUAGAGAUGCGAGAUCACUAACAUGAUUUGUUCACUAUAGUGGACUUCAAAUAUGAAGUCUAGUUCAAGUGAGGGAGAAUUGUAACACCAUGAUGUUGAGGUAUUUCCAAUUUAGCCCUAAGUAUGAAGAUUAUUUGCAUUUAAGCCCUUGUGUAUGGAAGUGUUGCAAAAUGGCCCAUAGUGGCAUUUUUGUAAAUUAUGGGCGGAGCUCAUGUAUGUUGGGCGUAGAGAUUGAUACGUUGGGUGUACGUUCCAGAACCUCUAACCGUAAUUUUUAAGGUUUGGACCCUAUAUAAGCAUAAUUCACUCUCCAAGGCUCAUUCCCUCACUAGCCUCCAACCCUCAUUUCGUCCAUUACAACCCUAAUCUCUUGUGUGUGUUCCUUUGAGCUUGAAAGUGUGUGUUUGUGUUGUCUUUGAAGCAAAGAUAAGAUUGAAGAACAAACUUGGAAGAUCAAGACCACAUAGAUCCAGAAACACCUCACCUCCAAGCUUCAUUUUUAGGUACUUCAGAGAUUAUGCGAAAGUGAAGGCGUGAUCGUGCAUAUCUUCCUGUUUUUAUGAUAUUGGGUCUUGGGAGAAACUUUGAUUAUGAUUAUACUCUUGAAACAAUGAUUUUGUAAACACUUUAUUGUCAAAAUGGGUUGUUUUUGAAAAUUUUAAAUUUCUAUGAUUUUUGGGUUGUUACAGAAGGGUUUCUGGAAUGUUUAUGAUGUUAGGGAUCUCAGCUUUGCUAUGAUAAUUUAUUUAAUCAUUUUUCCACCUA